rnacentral:rRNA from 1 species
AUUGAACGCUGGCGGCAUGCCUUACACAUGCAAGUCGAGCGGCAGCGCGGGGGGCAACCCUGGCGGCGAGCGGCGGACGGGUGAGUAAUACAUCGGAACGUGUCCUUUCGUGGGGGAUAACCAGUCGAAAGACUGGCUAAUACCGCAUGAGAUCUUACGAUGAAAGCGGGGGACCGCAAGGCCUCGCGCGAUUGGAGCGGCCGAUGUCGGAUUAGCUAGUUGGCGGGGAAAAGCCCACCAAGGCUACGAUCCGUAGCUGGUUUGAGAGAACGACCAGCCACACUGGGACUGAGACACGGCCCAGACUCCUACGGGAGGCAGCAGUGGGGAAUUUUGGACAAGUGGGGCAACCCUGAUCCAGCCAUGCCGCGUGUGUGAAGAAGGCC